AUUGAACGCUGGCGGCAGGCUUAACUCAUGCAAGUCGAGCGGUGUGAUGGUGCUUGCACUAUCACUUAGCGGCGGACGGGUGAGUAAUGCUUAGGAAUCUGCCUAUUAGUGGGGGACAACAUCUCGAAAGGGAUGCUAAUACCGCAUACGUCCUACGGGAGAAAGCAGGGGAUCUUUAUGACCUUGCGCUAAUAGAUGAGCCUAAGUCGGAUUAGCUAGUUGGUGGGGUAAAGGCCUACCAAGGCGACGAUCUGUAGCGGGUCUGAGAGGAUGAUCCGCCACACUGGGACUGAGACACGGCCCAGACUCCUACGGGAGGCAGCAGUGGGGAAUAUUGGACAAUGGGGGGAACCCUGAUCCAGCCAUGCCGCGUGUGUGAAGAAGGCCUUAUAGUUGUAAAGCACUUUAAGCGAGGAGGAGGCUCUUUUGGUUAAUACCCAAGAUGAGUGGACGUUACUCGCAGAAUAAGCACCGGCUAACUCUGUGCCAGCCGCCGCGGUAA
rnacentral:rRNA from 1 species